rnacentral:lncRNA from 1 species
UUGCAUUGGGUUCGCCAAUGUAGCGCCCCAAAAUCCGGGUCCCUUGAAUCUCAAACCUAGUGUGUCACGAUACAUCAUCUUCAUACAUAUUCUAUAAACUAAUGCAGAAUUAUAAAUAUAAAUUAUUUAUUACACAAUAGUUUUGUAAUAUUUCCCAAGGUCUACAACCUUUAUCUUAAUACAUACCUUUAAUAAUUCACAAGGUUUACAUAAUCAAUUUACGUCAGUUAUCAUAAUAGAUAAAUGUCCAUAUAAAACUAAUCUCCAUCUUUUCCUUUUCCUUUGUCAUUCUUUGAGCAUUCGAGUUAAACUAAAAUAUAUUCAUGAUAUAGCAAGGGUGAACAACUACUUUGCUCAGCAAGUUUAAAUACAAUAAAGAUAUAUCAUGAUUGAAAGAAAUAAUAAGCUUUCAAGUUUUCAACAAUAUAAUGAUUGUGAAAGAGCGUGAAUCAAAUUUCAAUACGUGAAUGAUUAAAUUAAUAACGAUGAGUGGUCAACAAUGAUCAUGAACAAAAUACUUUGGUAAUGAAUGUGAUCAGCCUUUCAUACCUGAUAAACAUAUGCAAUGUGCACUAAAUUCGAAUCAAUAAUCAUAUAUGUGAAAUAAUUGUCAAUAAUUAAACCACUAGCAUUCUUGAAAAUUAUUAACUCGAGUUUGAGUUAGAAAACUUGUCAUUGCCAUUGAUUAUCGUUAAGCAAUCUAAUUUAAUCUCUUAUGAAAGACCUAUCAUUAAUAAGAUCGAUCCUCCAAUUAGCAUAAUACAUUUUAUCUCACAAUACUAUUACUCACAUAAUAAAUUAGCUAACAUUUAGCCAAAUAAUCAAACAUUGAAUAAUUCUUUAACUCAUUAGUAAUAUUAUCAUCCCUUAAUAAUAUUACUAUCAUUUAAUCAUCAUAUUAAACUCUUGGCUAAUAUUAUUAAUCAUUUAAUAAUAUUUUAAUCACUUAAUACUAUUAAUCACUUAAUAAUAUUUAAUAACUUCUUAAUAUUAUUAAAUCAUUUAAUAAAAUAUUAAUCAUUCAAAAAUAUUAUUAAUAAUUUAAUAAUAAUUUAAUUAUUUACCAAUAUUAUUAACCAUUUAAUAAUAUUUUAAUUCUUAUAUAAUAUUAUUAAUUAUUUAAUAAUAUUUUAAUCAUUCACUAAUAUUAUUAAUCAAUUAAUAAUAUUUUAAUAAUCUAAUAUUAUUAAUUUUUUAAUAUUUUAAUCGCUUAUAAAGGUAUCACACAUUUUAAGAUUUAAAUAUUUUACAUCUUGAAGCUUAAACCAUUUAAAAUCUAUUUCAGAAAUAUCUUUUACCUUUACUCGUAAAUUCGGAGUUUAAACAGCUAAUGCAUAGCUUUUAUAGUAAAACUCAAUUUACUAUAUUAUUUCUUUAAUUUAAAUAUUUUUUACAUCAAUUUGUCCGUUCAUGAGUCAACACUGACUGUUGCCUCAUAUAUAAAUAUUUUAUCUCUCUAGCACAUUCGUUUAUUUUUCAUUUUACGAUUAUUCGCAUUUUUGCUUUAUAUAUAUAUAUAUAUAUAUAUAUAUAUAUAUAUAUAUAUAUAUAUAUAUAUAUAUAUUUAUCGUUACGUAAAUCUCAGCUCAAAAAUCAUAUUUUGAACACCGAAAACCUCAAAAUAUCAUUUUUGUGAUUAAUAAAAAAUUUCAAAGGUUUUACAUUCUUAGUUGCACCACAAAAUAAAUUUAUAGGUAACUAUAUUUUUUAUUUUAAUUAAAUAUGUAAUUUAUAUUUAUUACAUAUUUUUAUUGCUUUAUUUAUGCCCGAAAGAAAGUUUCUCGACAUAAAAUAUCAUUUAUAGUCAAAUCUCACCCCGUAGGACUUUAUUAAAUUUAUUAUGACUUAUUAUUUUGGCGAAACGCGAUUCGAAACGUCAAACGUCAAAGUCGCUCAAUGCGCCGAAGCUCGGCGUUCGCUUAAAUUUUAGUUCUAACAUGCAUGUUCACUCAUUUUUACUUUUCAAAUCAUAAGCUAUAUAACAACAAAAUUUUGGGCAUGUUAUAGACCUUAUGGCGUAGUAUUUUAGAAAAAUUUCUAACCGCCAAAACGGAUCACGGAACCCAUCAAAAUAGCUCGUCAAAAAGCAUGUCAGGCAGCUACCCAACAGGACAGCGCGGCGCCGCACGCCCAGCGCGCGCACGCUGCUGCCCAGCAGCGUUGCUGCUCCGCUGCUCGCAUACCAAAUUCGCUAUUUUCGAAUUUCGUACACGUUGUUCGUUAAUCGGAUUGAUCCCAUUUUUGGAUAUGUUUUUCAUAUCAUAUGAAACUAUUUUUAAAAAAUAUGAAACCCAUUUGGGGUUCAUUAAGAAGUCCCAAUAAUUCACUAAAAAUGGACGUUCAUAACAAUUUUAAACUUUUUCUCAUCUUUACUUUUUAUCACUAAAACAGUCAUAACCUUUUCAUUUCAAAACAUUUGCGAGCGAUUCUUGAGCCCAUGCAAAGCUAACUUCCGAGACUACAAGUUUUAUGCUUUGACCUUUUUGAAAUUCUAAACACAGAAUUCCAAAAAAAUCGUGCAAGGGGACUUCCCCGAGUUUGUUAAACAGUUUUGACGCAACUACUUUGAACGGUCAUAACUCUUUGCUCAGAAGUCGAAAUUAGUCCGUUCGGGAGUCUAUGAAAAGCUUAUUCAGUGUACUAUAAUAUACCAAAAGCCCACAAUUUUCUGGAGCAUCUAACUAAUCCCGGAUUUUUCUUUUAUGGUCAGUAGUCUACUAUUUUUUCUAAGUUAAAAAACUGUUUUACUUUUCUUUCUUUGGAUCAAAUUUUUAUCACCUAAAAUUGUUAAAUCCAUAAAAAAUACACUAUAUAACAUGUAGAUCUAAAGUUUUUAAAGUUCAAAAUCAUAACUUGAUAGUUCAUCAAAUUCAAACACAAUAAAAGGAAUAAACUAAAUUAGGGUGUUAUACCUUUCUUAUUGCUCUCUUCCUUCUUCUUCUUCUUCUUCUUUGUCUUCUUUAGUGACUGAUCUCUUUCUUUCUUUUUUCUAUGUAGACGGGUGUGUGAGAGAAAAAUGAGAGCUAAUCUUGCAUAUCUAUCAAUAUCUUAGCAAAUCUCC